rnacentral:rRNA from 1 species
UACGUAGGGUGCGAGCGUUAAUCGGAAUUACUGGGCGUAAAGCGUGCGCAGGCGGUUUUGUAAGCCAGAUGGGAAAGCCCCGGGCUCAACCUGGGAACUGCGUCCGAUACUGGCAGGCUUGAAUCCGGGAGAGGGAUGUGGAAUUCCAGGUGUAGCGGUGAAAUGCGUAGAUAUCUGGAGGAAUACCGGUGGCGAAGGCGGCAUCCUGGACCGGCAUUGACGCUGAGGAGCGAAAGCCAGGGGAGCAAACGGG